rnacentral:tRNA from 6 species
GGUCCGUUGGUCAAGGGGUUAAGACACCGCCUUUUCACGGCGGUAUCACGGGUUCGAAUCCCGUACGGACUAUCA